rnacentral:misc_RNA from 1 species
GGAGUUUCGUCAAGAGGCGACGUUUUUCUUGCGGCUAAAGCUCAUCGCCGAUCAAGGAUGGCCUCAAUGGGAACUGUGACUGUCUCCAACUUUGUUUCGAGGAGUUCUCUCAUCAGUUAUGGGGCUUCGGGCUCAGAGACUAAAACGAGCCUUUCACAGGUUGGCGUGAAGAACCAAGUAGAGACUCACAAGGGAUUGAAAUCCUUGAACAAUUUGGAUGUGCUGCGGAAGAAAACUCCUGCGAGUGCAAUUUGCAGGACUGCCAGUAGGAAAACUGAUGGACUUGGUGGAACUGCUGGAAAAAUUGUGUGUGAACAAGGGAUGAAUAUAGUGCUUGUGGCUGCUGAAGUUACUCCAUGGAGCAAAACUGGUGGGCUUGGUGAUGUUCUUGGAGGAUUGCCUCCAGCAUUGGCUGCUAGAGGACACCG